CAAGGAAAUAGAUAUAUAUACAACAAAGUUGUAUAUACAACAAUGUAUAUCCUAUAUAUACAACAAUGUUGUAUACCUACAACAACGGUAUAUCCUAUAUAUACAACAAUGUUGUAUACCUACAACAACGGUAUAUCCUAUAUAUACAACAAUUGUUGUAUACCUACAACAACGGUAUAUCCUAUAUAUACAACAAUUGUUGUAUACCUACAACAACGGUAUGUCCUAUACCUACAACAAUAGCAAUCUGGCAACAUCGCAGAAUGGGCGGCAACGACAAGCACUGAAAGGCUCGUGGACGACACCGACUGCCGGCGCCGGCUCACGGUCGUCGCCGCCAUCUUGCCAAGCGGAGCGCGGACCGGAGCGGAACUGUGAAAAUUCCGGAAAACGAAGCCACGAGCACCAGAAAACAGGAAAUGCUAGUGGAAGAUUCGCCGUAUUGUUCACAGGGACAAACGACCUGGGGACGACCCUGCGCGUCCACGUCUGGACGGUGCCGAUUCCCGCGUGGCAUGGACACGACCCGAGGAAGGAAGGAUUUGGCCUUGUUGAGGUUGAGCAGCAGGCCCAGCAAAUGUCGUCCGCAGUGGCGACGAAAUGCAAAACAGGACACCUGGAUGGUGCCGAUUUUUGUUCGGUCGAGGAAGGAAGAUUUUUGUGCGGUCGAGGAAGGAAGGGUUAGGCCUUGUUGAGGUUGAGCAGCAGGCCCAGCAAAUGUCGUCCGCAGUGGCGUUCAAAUGCAAAACAGGACACCUGGACGGUGCAGAUUUUUGUGCGGUCGAGGAAGGAAGGAUUUGGCCUUGUUGAGGUGAGUAUUUUAGCAGUGAAAUUAGCACUGUGGGCUAAUAAUAAACCUGCCUUGUCUAGGUUGAGCAGCAGGCCCAGCAAAUGUCGUCCGCAGUGGCGUUCAAAUGCAAAACAUGACACCUGGACGGUGCAGAUUUUUGUUCGGUCGAGGAAGGAAGGGUUAGGCCUUGUUGAGGUGAGAUUUAGCAGUGAAAUUAGCACUGUGGGCUAAUAAUAAACCUGCCUUGUCUAGGUUGAGCAGCAGGCCCAGCAAAUGUCGUCCGCAGUGGCGACGAAAUGCCAAACAGGACACCUGGAUGGUGCCGAUUUUUGUUCGGUCGAGGAAGGAAGAUUUUUGUGCGGUCGAGGAAGGAAGGGUUAGGCCUUGUUGAGGUUGAGCAGCAGGCCCAGCAAAUGUCGUCCGCAGUGGCGACGAAAUGCAAAACAGGACACCUGGACGGUGCCGAUUUUUGUUCGGUCGAGGAAGGAAGGGUUAGGCCUUGUUGAGGUGAGAUUUAGCGGUGAAAUUAGCACUGUGGGCUAAUAAUAAACCUGCCUUGUCUAGGUUGAGCAGCAGGCCCAGCAAAUGUCGUCCGCAGUGGCGUUCAAAUGCAAAACAGGACACCUGGACGGUGCAGAUUUUUGUGCGGUCGAGGAAGGAAGGAUUUGGCCUUGUUGAGGUGAGUAUUUUAGCAGUGAAAUUAGCACUGUGGGCUAAUAAUAAACCUGCCUUGUCUAGGUUGAGCAGCAGGCCCAGCAAAUGUCGUCCGCAGUGGCGUUCAAAUGCAAAACAGGACACCUGGACGGUGCAGAUUUUUGUGCGGUCGAGGAAGGAAGGAUUUGGACUUGUUGAGGUGAGUAUUUUAGCAGUGAAAUUAGCACUGUGGGCUAAUAAUAAACCUGCCUUGUCUAGGUUGAGCAGCAGGCCCAGCAAAUGUCGUCCGCAGUGGCGUUCAAAUGCAAAACAUGACACCUGGACGGUGCAGAUUUUUGUUCGGUCGAGGAAGGAAGGGUUAGGCCUUGU